GUUAAAAAGCUCGUAGUUGGAUUUCGGUUAAGAGCGACCGGUCCGCCGUUUGGUGUGCACUGGUUGGUUUUAACUUCCUGUAGAGGACGUGCUCUGGGCUUAACGGUCUGGACUCGGAGUCUACGUGGUUACUUUGAAAAAAUUAGAGUGUUCAAAGCGGGCUUACGCUUGAAUAUUUCAGCAUGGAAUAACACUAUAGGACUCCUGUCCUAUUUCGUUGGUCUCGGGACGGGAGUAAUGAUUAAGAAGAACAGUUGGGGGCAUUCGUAUUUCAUUGUCAGAGGUGAAAUUCUUGGAUUUAUGAAAGACGAACUUCUGCCAAAGCCUUUGCCAAGGAUGUUUUCAUUAAUCAAGAACGAAAGUUGGGGGC
rnacentral:rRNA from 1 species